rnacentral:snoRNA from 1 species
UCUCCAGCGACUGAACAUCUCAACACUUGCAAAGAUCAGCUGUGGCAGCUGGUAAUUGCCCUGGCCUAUUAUUCAGGACUGGAGGCUUCUUGUCAGUUGUCCACAAGG